rnacentral:rRNA from 1 species
UACGGAGGAUGCAAGCGUUAUCCGGAAUGAUUGGGCGUAAAGCGUCCGCAGGUGGCUGUGUAAGUCUGCUGUUAAAGAGUGAGGCUCAACCUCAUAAAAGCAGUCGAAACUACACGGCUAGAGUGCGUUCGGGGCAGAGGGAAUUCCUGGUGUAGCGGUGAAAUGCGUAGAUAUCAGGAAGAACACCGGUGGCGAAAGCGCUCUGCUAGGCCGCAACUGACACUGAGGGACGAAAGCUAGGGGAGCGAAUGGG